CUUCACACAUGAGUACGAGAGGGGGCUUCAACCUUCUUGCUGUACUUGCGUAGUGUUUUGUUCCUCUUCUCCUCUCUCUGUAGGGACCAUUAAGGCGCCGACGCAGCGGACGCAGUGUCCUAGGGCAACUGCCGCGCACGGAUUCAGGUGUGUGCUCGCUCCCACGGUCGUGAGCCCCCGUCUGUGAUUUCCAGCGGUGAGCAGUGUGCCCAGCGUUACUCGCACAAUUGUAUAAGGGCAUCGAGCAAACUUGCUGCUGACCACCACGGUACGACACAUACACCCAGUGGGAAAGCGGACCAUACCCACCCUUCUCCACCCCUCCUCGUCUUGAUUCCGACCUCCCCUUUUCGGUCUCUCGCCCACGCUGUCUGCCUGCCUUUUCCCGUUCCCUUAUUUUCCGCCUUCUCGGCGUACCACCGACGUAGCAGCGAGGUGUGCGGGCUUGUGUGACCGAGUACCCUUCCGCUGACUCGAUGCUGAGAAGGACUUGAUCGCCAGAAAAGGUAAACUUUUUUUUUGUGAGAUCAUCUUCGUGAGUGUGGACACUGCCGUUCCGCUGUGCGCUGCACGCUAUCGUUGCCGUAGCAGCGUACCAGCUCCUUGUCUUUGCUUUCACGAUGCAGCCAAUCAACCCAAAUGACCGGAACACCCAAGCGCGGUUCGUCGAGAUAGCUUGCAGGGCAGCCUCGCCGGACCCGACGGUGCGCACGCCGGCGGAGAGAGAGCUUCUAGCUUACCUGGAUGCCGUGGACCAACAAAGCGGGCUGCCGCAGCUACUGCUGGAGCUCACCCAUGGCGAGACUCCUCACGACACCUUCUUCGCCAUUAGCUUUAAAAACAUGGUGAAGAAGUGCUGGGAUCCCUCCACGUCAGAGCACUGCAUCCAGGAGUGCGAUAAGGUCGCUGUGCGCGCCACGAUUAUCGAGAGCAUGCUUCGCUCAUCGGGUGCGGUGCAGCGGAACUUGGCUGAAGCAAUCGCCCUCAUCGCCCAGGUGAUUUCCCCACUGCAUGGACCGACGCUUUGUCCCUGAUCGUAAAAGUGCUCACUUCCGGAAAUGAUGUUGCCCAACUGCGUGCUGCGCUGUCCACGUCUCACAGUGUGUUGCGGAAGUACCGCCAUCAGGGCGAGUUGACAGAGGCGCUUGUGCACGAGCUGCGUGCCAUCUAUAGCUUGCUGUGCCCCGCGCUGGUUCGCAGCAUGGAGUCGCUGCUCUUGACAACGGAGACGCAGGGUGCCAAUGUGACCGAGGUGUACAAAGGCAUCACCGAUGCCGUGGAAUGCCUGCGCGAUAUUACCUCACUCGACCUCGGUGACGAGUUCAUCGAGCGCAUCGGCCCCAUCGUAAGCAUGUACAAUCAAUGCCUCAGCAGGGUAAGCGCGCCGCCAGCCUUGUAUGGAGUUCAGGCAAGUGCCAUGAUCGACAUGAACUCGGCCGUGAUAGCGUGCAUGACGCACUGGCUAAACUCGUUUGACGAGGACUUUGAGAAUUUUGCGCCGCAGUUCAUCGAAGUCGUGAUUGGGAUGCUGGCGAAUCAACUGAGCAGCGACCCUUCCAUGGACGAUUUGGUGGUUUGCUCUCUCGAGUUGGUCAGCAGCGCGUGCCGGGGCACCACCCGCUCCCACCUGAACACGAGAGAGAAGCUGCAAUAUAUACUGCAGUUCAUCCUCCUCCCCAAUCUUGCACUUCGCGAGGAUGAUCUGGAGACCUACACGAGUGACCCGGACGAGUACAUUAAAAAGAACAUUGAGGGUUCCAACUUUCACACUCGCCGCCGCGCCGCCGUAGAGCUGGUGCGCUCCCUGCUUCUAUAUCUUCCGGAAGUCGCGCGGCCGCUCCUCGCCGAGGUGACCACUGCACUCCUCCAAACUGCACACGGAGACUGGAGGGCCAAAGACACUGCCAUCUACCUAGCAUUUGUGCUAGUGGUGGAUGGGCAGCUGGUGAACACACAGCGCGGUGUGACAGCGCAGCAGCUCAGCGAAAUUAUUCCUGUUGCUCAGAUCCUUGACGGCCACGUUUUCCCGGAGAUCAGGUGUGAUUUGUCAGCGCAGAGCCCUGGCAUCGUCAAGGCGGACUGCAUGCUCGUCGUUGCAGCCUUCCGUCACCUCAUCGCCUCCACCGCAUACGAGUUCCUAGUGCCGGCUCUGACUCGCCACAUCGCGGUUGGGGACGCCGUGGUUAUGACAUAUGCGGCCCACACCCUCAAGUGCUUUCUUUCCAUCACCGAAGCGUCGGCCGCCGCUGCCAUUGAGGCGGUCUUUGCGGGAAACGCCCUCAGCAUUCUGGAAGGCCUCUGCGUGCGCAUUCAACAGGCAGAGGCGCCGAAUCCGUAUCUGAUGCAGUACCUCAUGAGUGUAUGCUUCCGCUUUCCGAAACUUGUCGCCCCCUUCGUGACACAGGUGAUGGCUUCUCUCCACACGCCGCUGUACAGAGCCGUUCGUAACCCUUCCAACGCGCUGUACAGUCAGUGCAUGUUCGAGGUCAUCUCGAAGUGCGUGGCGCUGCAGCCGGGAGCAAGGGGUGAGUUCGAGGGGAUGCUGUGGCCCAACUUUGCACACGUGCUACGUGAGAACGUUGCUGAGUACGUGCCAUAUGUUCUCCAAGUAUUUGCCCAACUCGUGCGCACGUACCAGUCCAGCGAUGCUGCGCAGCGGUGGGCCGAAAACCCUGCUGAGAACUACCAAGCCCUCGUCUGCCCGCUUACUCAACCGCAGAUGUACGAAAUGCGUACACAGAUACCUGCUCCAGUGUGCUUGCUCUGCGCGUUUGUCGAGGUCUACCCGGGAUACAUGCAUCGGAACGGGAUGACCAAUCCAGCUCUGAACGUCUUCAACAUAUUGGUGCGUCUCAAGAAUUACGAUAACGAGGGCUUGAACAUUCUCACAUCUAUGCUGCUUGCGUACCCUGCAGAUGUCAUGGAUAUGUACAUGGACACUGUAUUCAAGGUUCUGAUGGAUCGAUUGCAGAGUUCCUCUACACCGAAGUAUGUGCGCAUCCUGAUCCUAUUCUUGUCGGUUGUGGUGGUGCAGCGCCGGGACGCUGACUACCUGGUCAAUCGCCUCAACAACAUCGAGGGCGGCUUGUUCAUGAGGGUUCUCGGCAACGUAUGGCUGCCUCGCGUGCAAAAGAUCACCGGCGAUGUGGAGCGAAAGAUAUGCGUGGUGGCGCUGGCCAGGCUUCUUUGCGAGUCCACAGCGCUGCAGUCCGACACGGCAGCGUGGGUGACGAGUGCUUCCAGCUGCCUCCGAAUGCUGCACGAUGGCGUGGAGCCGGACGACCACAUCAGCUUCACGCCCGCUGCGGGUGCGGCGCAGAAUCCAGAGUCGCUGCUUGGCAGUGCCAUCGGAUCAGAUGAGUUCACCAGCUCGUUCCACCCUCUACGAGAGGCGAUGCAAAGGCCGCGUGACGUCUGCAGCCACGUCCCCGACGCCCAAGCGUUCUUUCAAGCUGAGUUGUCAAGCUUUCUCAAGGGCCGCGGCGCACACCUCUCCGCCUCACUCAAGCAGUGGCUUGGCCCGCAUACUCCUGCUUGGCUUUCGUAAGAUGGGCGCUACUGGCACGCAUGAAGGGGUGACGUUGCGUCUCACUCUCUGGCGGCUCACAAUGAGUCCUCAGUGAUGUUUGCAAGACGGGCAAACGACGCGCAUACACGGGCGAGUGCCUGUGGCAUUGCAGAACAACGAAGUGCAAGCGAAACGCCACGCGGCAGGGCUGAUUCUGCCCUCCUUCUUUUUAGUUCGCUGAUGAUGGAAAUGAUUCGCACAAAAGACACGAUUGACCUCUCUUCUGAUGCAUCGUACUUUCUCUUGUUGACCCCGCAACACGGAUGCGGUUGCCGAUGACUUGACGUGUGACCUUCGCGCCUGCGCGUACAUAUUGGUCGGGGGAGGGUCUCUUCAAGCACGGGAAACAUUUUGCGGUGUGUAAGGUCGUCGCAGCAUCUUUUCGUUCUUGUCUUUGUAAAUCGUCGAGGUUGCGGUUUUCACACAUAUACGCGCUUGCGGGUAUGCACGGCGUGCUUUCCCCUUCGUUUCUUCCGUUCUUCUUCACAGUACCACUGAUAACGUAGGCCACCCAACCGUGAUGUCAGGAUGUAGUACCCACGCUCUGUGUGUGGAGGCCGAGAGCCUGCAGCCCGGCCGCCGGGCACGGCUGCGGCCUCUUGGUGUCGGUGGACAGCGCUUGGCUGGCGCGGUGCCGAGGAGACGUGCUGGCGUGAUGAUCAUGUUUAAACUGCCUCACCAGGUAUCAAAAAGACGAAGGAAGCGCAUAUAGAUUUUUGCCUCUUUCUUUUUCCCAACUCGCCGAUUCUGCGAUAG
rnacentral:misc_RNA from 1 species